CCAGGGGAACCCCUGACAACAGAUACAUUGGCAACACAAACAUAUAACCUAAUUGUAUAAGGAGACAAGUUGGAAGAUUUUGCUGCAAUGGUAUUAGGUCAUCCAAAGAAACCGGUGUUUGCAAUCAUUUUAGGAAAAUCUGCUUAGAGGUUAUUUACUCGCUAUUUCAAAUACAUUCAUAGAGCGUGAUAUGCAGAAGAUAUAAUAAAUGGAAGAGAAGAGGCCACAAAGUGACUGUAACAUCCAAUGAGAAUGAUUCGUAGAAAUGAUAGCAGCAUUUAAUAACAUAGAUGUAGAAAUAAACUGACAAUCGCGUUUAUUGCAAUCACUAUCUUCAGGCAUCUCUUGCUGAAAACCUCACUCUCCUGGCCUUAUCCUGACCGAAUGAAUGCAAUAUGUGCAAGCAGGGGGUUAUGUUCUGAUUAAAAUGAGUUUACAUAUUUAUUGUAUGAAAGCCUAGGUUUACACUGAAAUUUUUAUUCAGCAUGUCGGACUGCAUUCCGUUAGAAAAGAUUCAAAUAAUUCUUAUUUAACAGGAACAAGGUUCCUUUUACAUAGUUACCCUUUAGAGAAAUUUCCAUAUUAUGGAAUAAUUCAUUUCUCUAGAUCGGAAGAAAAAAAAGUUUGUAUUUAAUUGGAAUGUUUUAAAAAAAAAUAUUCUGUGUCAAUAUAUGGAUGUUAAAAAAUUCACAGAAAAUCAUAGAUAGAGGAAAGGUACCAAAUACCAUGCAGGAAAAAUAUAUAUCACUGAAGCAAAAGUAUUAAACUAUACCUUUUAAUAAAUACUAUUAAAUGAAGUACCCCCUUGUAUACUUAGAAAAAUGACCAAAAUCCUUAUGCUGCGUCCACCAUACCUUAAUGGACUAGCUAAAAGACCAAAAACAAAUACCAAAUUGCACCAAAUUUUUGGCACAGGCAGUUUUAUUUAUGUCCCCCAUUAUGUUUUGAAUGCUCUAACAGAGAAACAUAUCAACCAUGGGAGAACCCCAAUAAGUCAAUGUUUCAAUACCAGUGAAAACUGUUGAGUGUGAGCUACUUUUUCCGAUGCUCCAAUACAACUAGGAGACAGUGAAUGCUGAUCCUGCUCUUUAGCUAAGAAAGGGCCUUUAGGCUUUCUUAUUCUUGGCACCAGUAGGUGUUUCAGACAGUGGACCUAUAAGUAUCUGAAUGGCAAGCUAUCAAAGUAAAAAGGAGGUUGUCAGGAAACAGCACCAUUAAAACAUCACUUGCAGGGUUAAGCAGGGUUGAGUUUGUUGACUGACAUGAUGUGCUAUCUGUGUUUACUGUUGGACUGCAGGUAAACCUAACAUGAUAGAGCACAUGUAUCAAAGAAAAUUUUCUUAAAAAGUGUAAAAAUAAUAACAUUUGUGGAUUCUUUUGAUAUAAUGCAAUUAUAUUUUGUAA